GAUGAACGCUGGCGGCGUGCCUAAUACAUGCAAGUCGAGCGAACAGACGAGGAGCUUGCUCCUCUGACGUUAGCGGCGGACGGGUGAGUAACACGUGGAUAACCUACCUAUAAGACUGGGAUAACUUCGGGAAACCGGAGCUAAUACCGGAUAAUAUAUUGAACCGCAUGGUUCAAUAGUGAAAGACGGUUUUGCUGUCACUUAUAGAUGGAUCCGCGCCGCAUUAGCUAGUUGGUAAGGUAACGGCUUACCAAGGCGACGAUGCGUAGCCGACCUGAGAGGGUGAUCGGCCACACUGGAACUGAGACACGGUCCAGACCCCUACGGGAGGCAGCAGUAGGGAAUCUUCCGCAAUGGGCGAAAGCCUGACGGAGCAACGCCGCGUGAGUGAUGAAGGUCUUCGGAUUGUAAAACUCUGUUAUUAGGGAAGAACAAAUGUGUAAGUAACUAUGCACGUCUUGACGGUACCUAAUCAGAAAGCCACGGCUAACUACGU
rnacentral:rRNA from 1 species